CGGGGAACGAUAACGGCGUCGAGCGGCGGACGGGUGAGUAAUGCCUAGGAAAUUGCCCUGAUGUGGGGGAUAACCAUUGGAAACGAUGGCUAAUACCGCAUGAUGCCUACGGGCCAAAGAGGGGGACCUUCGGGCCUCUCGCGUCAGGAUAUGCCUAGGUGGGAUUAGCUAGUUGGUGAGGUAAGGGCUCACCAAGGCAACGAUCCCUAACUGGUCUGAGAGGAUGAUCAGCCACACUGGAACUGAGACACGGUCCAGACUCCUACGGGAGGCAGCAGUGGGGAAUAUUGCACAAUGGGCGCAAGCCUGAUGCAGCCAUGCCGCGUGUGUGAAGAAGGCCUUCGGGUUGUAAAGUACUUUCAGUCGUGAGGAAGGCGGCGUCGUUAAUAGCGGCGUUGUUUGACGUUAGCGACAGAAGAAGCGCCGGCUAACUCCGUGCCAGCAGCCGCGGUAAUACGGAGGGUGCGAGCGUUAAUCGGAAUUACUGGGCGUAAAGCGCAUGCAGGUGGUUUGUUAAGUCAGAUGUGAAAGCCCGGGGCUCAACCUCGGAAUAGCAUUUGAAACUGGCAGACUAGAGUACUGUAGAGGGGGGUAGAAUUUCAGUGUAGCGGUGAAAUGCGUAGAGAUCUGAAAGAAUACCGGUGG
rnacentral:rRNA from 1 species